CCUACGGGUGGCAGCAGUGAGGAAUAUUGGUCAAUGGACGCAAGUCUGAACCAGCCAUGCCGCGUGCAGGAAGACGGCUCUAUGAGUUGUAAACUGCUUUUGUACGAGGGUAAACUCAGAUACGCGUAUCUGUCUGAAAGUAUCGUACGAAUAAGGAUCGGCUAACUCCGUGCCAGCAGCCGCGGUAAUACGGAGGAUUCAAGCGUUAUCCGGAUUUAUUGGGUUUAAAGGGUGCGUAGGCGGUCGGAUAAGUUAGAGGUGAAAUCCCGAGGCUCAACUUCGGCAUUGCCUCGGAUACUGUGCGGCUAGAGAGUAGUUGCGGUAGGCGGAAUGUAUGGUGUAGCGGUGAAAUGCUUAGAGAUCAUACAGAACACCGAUUGCGAAGGCAGCUUACCAAGCUACUUCUGACGUUGAGGCACGAAAGCGUGGGGAGCAAACAGGAUUAGAUACCCGAGUAGUC
rnacentral:rRNA from 1 species